rnacentral:rRNA from 1 species
UACGUAGGGUGCAAGCGUUAAUCGGAAUUACUGGGCGUAAAGCGUGCGCAGGCGGUUUGGUAAGUCUGACGUGAAAUCCCCGGGCUCAACCUGGGAAUUGCGUUGGAGACUGCAAGGCUAGAAUCUGGCAGAGGGGGGUAGAAUUCCACGUGUAGCGGUGAAAUGCGUAGAGAUGUGGAGGAACGCCGAUGGCGAAGGCAGCCCCCUGGGUCAAGAUUGACGCUCAUGCACGAAAGCGUGGGGAGCAAACAGG